GCGUAAUAGCUCACUGGUCGAGUCGGCCUGCGCGGUAGAUGUAACGGGGCUAAACCAUGCACCGAAGCUGCGGCAGCGACACUGUGUGUUGUUGGGUAGGGGAGCGUUCUGUAAGCCUGUGAAGGUGGCCUGUGAGGGUUGCUGGAGGUAUCAGAAGUGCGAAUGCUGACAUAAGUAACGAUAAAGCGGGUGAAAAGCCCGCUCGCCGGAAGAC
rnacentral:rRNA from 1 species